CGUCUCCCGUCCUCGGGCUCCGCCCCGCGGCCAUGGCCCCAGCUACACCCGAGCGGCCAAGCUGAGCAGCGCAGCCCUGCCACCAGUGCUCAUGAGAAGCUGGGUGUCCACAGGCGUCGGGGCCUCCUCCCACCCCGGCCACCCCGCGUCUGUGCCACAGGAUGUGCUGCCCUUCCAGGACUUUCUGGCUCCUUUAAGCCUGGAGUGUCUGAUGCAGAUGAAGAAAUUGUGGCAUAGAGAAGUUGAGUAACUUGCCUAAAGUCACCCAGCAACUCUGAAUUCCAGACUCCACCAUGCUGUCUCUCAUCGUUUGGGAAGCCUCACCCAGUGACUCAGGCACAGACAGUGGAUGUGUGUGCUGCAAAGUAAAGAAUGUCCCCAGGCUCCUCUGACUCCCCCAAAGCUCACCCGACACCUCUCACAGAUCGUGUCCUGCUCCGUGAAUGGAGGGCCAGGAGAUUCCCAAGAACCUUCCUUCUCUGACCUUGUUGGUUCUGCAAAGUGGACAGUGAGGGAGGAGACAGGCUACUCAAAGUUCUGCAAAACUCAGGGAGAGUCAGAGUUCUCCAGGGCAACAUGGUCCUGAACCAGAAGCCAGUGUAGACACAGGCCAGUCAGAUGGCACUCACACUGGCUUCCCACUCCCUACCCUUUUGGCAUGGAGAGGGUCCCAGGAAGAGAUCACAAGACCCACCGCUCUUCUGAAACCUGGAGGUG